AAAUGAUCCACAGCAGACAUGCAACCAUUGGUGGUGAUGAAAGAAGAAACUGUCCCUGAACGCCAGGAAUGGAAUCUGAGUGUUGACCAGGAGGACAUUAAAGAAGAGAAGCUGUGGAUAGGUCAGCAGGGAGAGCAGCUUCAGCAGCUGGAGGAGGCAGA